rnacentral:rRNA from 1 species
UACGUAGGUGGCAAGCGUUGUCCGGAUUUACUGGGCGUAAAGGGCGCGUAGGCGGCCACCGCAAGUCGGUUGUGAAAUCUCCGGGCUUAACCCGGAAAGGUCAACCGAUACUGCGGGGCUAGAGUGCAGAAGGGGCAACCGGAAUUCUCGGUGUAGCGGUGAAAUGCGUAGAUAUCGAGAGGAACACCUGCGGCGAAGGCGGGUUGCUGGGCUGACACUGACGCUGAGGCGCGAAAGCUAGGGGAGCAAACGGG